UGGGGAAUUUUGGACAAUGGGCGAAAGCCUGAUCCAGCAAUGCCGCGUGUGUGAAGAAGGCCUUCGGGUUGUAAAGCACUUUUGUCCGGAAAGAAAUCCUUGGCUCUAAUACAGUCGGGGGAUGACGGUACCGGAAGAAUAAGCACCGGCUAACUACGUGCCAGCAGCCGCGGUAAUACGUAGGGUGCAAGCGUUAAUCGGAAUUACUGGGCGUAAAGCGUGCGCAGGCGGUUUGCUAAGACCGAUGUGAAAUCCCCGGGCUCAACCUGGGAACUGCAUUGGUGACCGGCAGGCUAGAGUAUGGCAGAGGGGGGUAGGAUUCCACGUGUAGCAGUGAAAUGCGUAGAGAUGUGGAGGAAUACCGAUGGCGAAGGCAGCCCCUGGGCCAAUACUGACGCUCAUGCACGAAAGCGUGGGGAGCAAACAGGAUUAGAUACCCUGGUAGUCCACGCCCUAAA
rnacentral:rRNA from 1 species